GACGAACGCUGGCGGCGUGCUUAACACAUGCAAGUCGAACGGAAAGGCCCUGCUUUUGUGGGGUGCUCGAGUGGCGAACGGGUGAGUAACACGUGAGUAACCUGCUCUUGACUUUGGGAUAACUUCAGGAAACUGGGGCUAAUAUCGGAUAGGAGCUCCUGCUGCAUGGUGGGGGUUGGAAAGUUUCGGCGGUUGGGGAUGGACUAGCGGCUUAUCAGCUUGUUGGUGGGGUAGUGGCUUACCAAGGCUUUGACGGGUAGCCGGCCUGAGAGGGUGACCGGCCACAUUGGGACUAAGAUACGGAGCAGACUCCUACGGGAGGCAGCAGUGGGGAAUAUUGCACAAUGGGCGGAAGCCUGAUGCAGCAACGCCGCGUGCGGGAUGACGGCCUUCGGGUUGUAAACCGCUUUCGCCUGUGACGAAGCGUGAGUGACGGUAAUGGGUAAAGAAGCACCGGCUAACUACGUG
rnacentral:rRNA from 1 species